GCCGAAAUAGCUCCGUUGGAAGAGCGUUAGACUGAAGAUCUGAAGUCCCUGGUUCGAUCCCGGGUUUCGGCA